UCGGCGUUGUGUUUGUCAUAUAAAAGAUUUAAAAAUAGAUUUUCUUUUCUAUUUUACCGUAGGCUUAUCAAUCAUAAAAUCCCAUUUUAGCUUUAAAAUUUCAAUUCUAUUAGUUCAUCAUGUCUGAUGAAUUAUGAACAUAUUGUGCUUAGCUUUGCUUACAUUUAUGGCCACCUUAGUUUCGAAACCUGAGAUUAUUGUGCAACCUGCUUGAUCAGAGAGAAGAAAUUAUAUUAUUAUAUAUCUUGUUACUGUAUCAAAGUUCAAGAAGCUAGCUAUUUAUGUCUAUGCUCCUGUAAUGUUUGAAACCUGUUUUUGGUGAGCUACUUGCUCUCUCUUUCUUUGAGAGAGCUUUUCUCUGUCGGUUGUUUUUUUCCUUCUGAGGCAAGAGGCCUCGUCUGUGCCAGAUUCUGCAGCUGCCCUUGCCCUUCCCGGGCGGGUUGGCUCCUCCCCCUCCCCCUUCGCCUGAACGUGGGUUGUCUUCCUACCCGUUUGGAUGAAGGUGUAAAUUUCAGAUCUUUGCUCUUGUAUGGUGGAACGCAGUUACAGAAGGGUCGUGGUUUGGAUUCGAGACACUUCCCCUUCUUACUGCUAGCUGGUGGGAAGAUCUUAUGGAACCCUGGCUCGAGUGAGGCCGACCUUCCCUUUCUUAAGCGUCUGGUCCUUUUGUCACCAAUCGGCCGGCUUGCAUGUAUUAUUUUUGUUGUUUCCAUUGCCUCUUGUUCUUUGGGUUUUGCCCACUAUCUGCCUUUGCUGGGUUUUCUCCUUGAUUUCCAAUCGUUUGAGAAGGCUUCAGCCACUUUGGAGGAGUAAACCAUCCGGUAUCCUAUUCGGCUAUGGUGGUCGGAAAUCCAGAGGAGAGGGGUGGCGUUUCCGGUGAGCUUUGCCGAGUUGGAUGUGGGUCAACGGAUUUGGGUCUUAGAGUUUGUGGAACUUUGGGCUUUUUCUCUUUUUGGGCUUUUGAGACCUUUUGAUUUUGUUGGAGUUUUCUGUUUGGCUAUAGGCUGCAUUAUGUAAUCUUCGGCCUUUUUGUGGCCUGUU